CCCACUGCUCGCGGUAGCUGGGUGUUGGCUGCGGUUUGCCUCUUCACUCUUCAUAUCCCAGCUAAAGUACCUCGGCUAAGAAGGGCAAAAUAGAUGUCCGCACCCCAGGGCCUGCCCACGUAGGUCCAGGGUUUUCAGCGUCAGCCUGGUUACGCGAAACGCGACGGAUCCAACGAUUUGUGUUCAAUUUAACCGAUCCCCGUUAAGUUGAGGAAACUCGGCCAACAGACCUAUUUUAUUGGUUUCGCUUGGCCCUCCACCCCCACAGUACUGAUCUUACAGAUGGGAAUCCUGUAAUCUACCCAUGACUGCGGCCGCUGUACUUUGCAGGCUCCCAUUAGGCCUGUAUAUGGUCGUCAAAUGAAAUUACUCCCCCUGGGCUUCCAGUGAACUCCAAGAACAUGACUACAGGGACAACCUAUACAUAGUGUUGCAUUCUUGACUUUGGGGCAGAUCGCUGAACUUCAAAAAACAUUAUCAACUGCUUGAUGUUUCCUCCUGGAUACCGCAAAUGUCUGAAUCCAAACCCCUUCCCCAGAUACACUUUUAAUGUCAUCAGCAGCACUACCCAUUUAAUCCAACAUCCAUCAUGAAAUUUUUUAGUUCAUUCAGCAAAAUGUGAAUAUGCCCACGCACUAUUCUGCUCACAAGGGAUAGUGUCCAAAAUGUUCCUGCCCCUCGUGGUUAAUUCUAGGUUAAGUUUUAAAUGCUAUUAAGCAGAAGUAUCCAGUGAGUAAAGUGACUAAGGAUACUAUUUUAGAAACGAACACUGAAGGCCUCUGACGGGGUGACACUGGAUGGAACAAGGACCUGAAAUUUAGAAAGAAUGAGCCCUGAGAAUAUGAGUGAAAAACUUCCCCGUGCCAAAGAUGUACAUACAAAAGCUCCAAGAUGGGGGAGUCCUGGCAAAGCAGUCAGUGUGGCCAAAGCAGUGGGCAAGUGAAGGACCAGAUUUAGAAUUUAAUUCUAGUCAUGAUGAGAAACCACUGGAGUUUGUGGGGGACAGGGAAAUGAGAAAAUCUGCUUUGCCCUCUUAAAAGGCUUCCUGUUAUGCAAAAACUAAAUCACAGGAAGGCAAAAGUAGAAAAAGGAGAACAAUUAUAAGCUAUUGUAGUCACCUGUGCUAGGAUGGUAGUUGUGGUAGUAGUUAGAAGUAUAAGAUAACUCUGGAUAUUCAAGUUAGAACCACGUGGACUCACUUAAGGAUUAGAUGCAGGUUAUAAAAGUACAUUGAAGAUGGCACCCAAAACAUUUGCUCUGAGCAACUGGAUGAAUGAACAACUGGUGUUGGGUAAUCAAGGAGUUGACUUGGAAUAUUGAGAAAUUCAUAUCAAGAUGUUGAAUAUGAGUUUUGAGAGGUUUGGGGCCUAGAAAUAUUCAGGACUAAAAUGCUGAUCAUAUUCAAAAUCAUGGGAUUGGAUCAGAUC
rnacentral:lncRNA from 1 species